rnacentral:rRNA from 1 species
GACGAACGCUGGCGGCGUGCUUAACACAUGCCAGUCGAACGGUGAAGCGCUUGCCUUUUUGGUGGGUGUGGAUGAGUGGCGAACGGGUGAGUAACACGUGAGUAACCUGCCCUCUUCUUCUGGAUAACCUCAUGAAAGUGGGGCUAAUACGGGGUAUUCCGGGUCUGUCGCAUGGCGGGUUUGGGAAAGAUUGCGCCUUUGGGUGUUUUCGGUGGGGGAUGGGCUCGCGGCCUAUCAGCUUGUUGGUGGGGUGAUGGCCUACCAAGGCGGUGACGGGUAGCCGGCCUGAGAGGAUGGACGGCCACACUGGGACUGAGACACGGCCCAGACGGCAGCGGGAGGCAGCAGUGGGGAAUAGUGCGCAAUGGGCGCAAGCCUGAAGCAGCGACGCCGCGUGAGGGAUGGAGGCCUUCGGGUUGUGAACCUCUUUCGCCAGUGAAGCAGGCCUGCUCCUGUGUGGGUGGGUUGACGGUAGCUGGAGAAGAAGCGCCGGCUAACUACGUG